AAUCAACGCUGGCGGCGUGCCUAACACAUGCAAGUUGAGCGCUUGAGGGGGCAACCCCGAGAGAGCAGCGAACGGGUGAGUAACGCGUGGGUGAUCUUCCUUCGAGUGGGGAACAACGUCGGGAAACUGCGUCUAAUGCCGAAUACGACCUCGGAAGGCAUCUUCUGAGGUGGAAAGCUCCGGCGGAGAAGGAUGAGCUCGCGGCCUAUCAGCUAGUUGGUGGGGUAAUGGCUCACCAAGGCGACGACGGGUAGCCGGCCUGAGAGGGAGACCGACCACACUGGGACUGAGACACGGCCCAGACUCCUACGGGAGGCAGCAGUGGGGAAUAUUGGACAAUGGGCGAAAGCCUGAUCCAGCAACGCCGCGUGAGGGAUGACGGCCUUCGGGUUGUAAACCUCUUUCAGCAGGGACGAAGCGAAAGUGACGGUACCUGCAGAAGAAGGACCGGCCAACUACGUGCCAGCCGCCGCAGUAAAAC
rnacentral:rRNA from 1 species